rnacentral:rRNA from 1 species
AUGCGCCAUCAGGUCGAGUUAGUUGAUGGAGUGUUUCGCCGUGCCUUUUGGAUCUUUGGCCAAUACAUCGAGGCAUUCACGUAUUGUCGGUCGGUCUUGUCUAUAGAUGGUACAUUCUCAACCGGCAAAUACAAGGGCACAUUGUUGGUGGCAAUGGCCCACUCAUCAAAUGAUAAUGUGUUGCCGAUGGCAUUUGACUUGGGGCCUUUGGAGAACAAUCACAAUUGGGAGUGGUUUAUGGAGCAUGUGAGGACAAAGGUGUUUGGCAAGAGAGAGGUACGCAUUAUAUCGGAUCACCGUCAUGGGAUUCCCAAAGCAAUAGGCGUUGAUAUUCCAGGUAUUCCAAAGCUUCAAAACCAUUGGUUCAUGAGACACUUUGUGGCAAACUUUUACAGGGCAUGCAAGAGUAAUGAGUUCUGUAAAGACCUUACCCAUGUUUGUGUUGCAUUCAACACCGACACAUUCAAAAGCCGAUAUGAUAAACUCCUCAAGGCGUUGGAGAAGAACAUAGGGAGGAAAUAA